UUAUGACCUAUCCGUUAAUAAGGACAUUACCAAAAAACAAAUUUACAAAAAAGCGGAUUCCUACCCAGACGCCGGCUAAUCCAUCAACCAAUCCAUUACCGAAUGGUUCGGAAACUAGCCAUGCCCAACACUCUCGUUCUCGGGCCUCUACCUUGGACUCUGUUCCAAGGUCCGGGAUGCCCCACGUCGUCCGCGCUUUGGAGGCGUUACACUCUUUAGCGCUGCCCCCCUAGGGUUCACGGUAAGAAUUGCCCUACCGAAAAGUAAUCACAUUUCUCGAAAACCUUAUUCUCGACCCGUUCUGGCCACGGUCGGCGGCGCCAUUGUGGCCGUCGAGAUCACCAUCGUCAAAAAUAACCCGGAUUUCGCAGGCAUCGGCCAAAUUAUUCAGAGACCACUUUAGGACGUCGAAUUGACACCCUUAACGACCUCUAUGAUAAUCUGAACUCUAGCCCUCUCCAAUCUCCAUGAGGGUCCCAUCUCCACUUUAAGACAUUAGGACCCUCCUGGCGGACAACGCUUCCGCAGACUGACCUUGCUAAGACUGCCACUCCCUGCUUUCGAUCCCCGCGCUUGGCCUAAUCUAUGGGCCCAUCAGGAUCGACAUUUGCUACGCCUGAACCACAACCCCACCGAAACUCGACAGGGUCACGGCUUCCCUUCGACAAUUCAGGCGGCGGACCCUUCAUGCCAGCGUUCUGACUUUGAAUUUCCUUAACCGCCCCCUCGUGGUGUUGCGCACCUCGGACGCCAAAUUAACCUAAGUUGCGGCCUGUAGAGUGGUCUCCGCUGUCGACAUACUAUCGGUCCAACUACUGAAACGAACUGAUCGACUCUCCUCCACGUACCGGCGGCAGUCGAGCAUGGCACUCCGCAGGACAAUUCAGUCCGUUGCUCGCUCUGGGUGCGAGAAUCAAUGGUCGCCUAGGAAAAAACCUACGGCCCGUGUGAUUCCCCUGGCGGAUACUAUUUAUCCUCCUUCCUCACCUGCUGCCAUCCAGGCAUACGGGGCUUAGGAGACCCGUUGUGCGCCCGAUGUUACCGACUCUGUUACCCAAGGCUGCGGCUUUCCGCCUCCAUUAGGAGAUUUGAAUCAGCAUCAAGCCUAACUCCUGACAUUGAGCAAGAGUACUUCGACCUUACGCAUCAUUAGCGCACAGUGUUAGCGCGCC
rnacentral:rRNA from 1 species